UUAUACACGCAAGUCGAGCGGCAAGGUCUUCGGACCCUAGAGCGGCGCACGGGUGAGUAACGCGUACGCAAUCUGCCCUUCAGUGAGGAAUAGCCCUGGGAAACUGGGAUUAAUACCUCAUAAUAUUAUCUGUUCGCAUGGAUGGAUAAUUAAAGUUCUGGCGCUGAAGGAUGGGCGUGCGUCUGAUUAGCUUGUUGGUAGGGUAACGGCCUACCAAGGCUACGAUCAGUAGGGGGCGUGAGAGCGUGACCCCCCACACGGGUACUGAGACACGGACCCGACUCCUACGGGAGGCAGCAGUAAGGAAUAUUGGGCAAUGGAGGCAACUCUGACCCAGCCAUCCCGCGUGAAGGAUUAAGGCCCUAUGGGUUGUAAACUUCUUUUGUUUGGGAAGAAAUCUGGACAUUUAUGUGCAGUUGACGGUACCUUACGAAUAAGCACCGGCUAACUCCGUGCCAGCAGCCGCGGUAAUACGGAGGGUGCAAGCGUUAUCCGGAAUCACUGGGUUUAAAGGGUGCGUAGGCGGUUUGAUAAGUCAGAGGUGAAAGCUAGCAGCUUAACUGUUAAAUUGCCUUUGAUACUGUCAGACUUGAAUCAGGUUGAGGUAGGCGGAAUGUGACAUGUAGCGGUGAAAUGCAUAGAUAUGUCAUAGAACACCAAUUGCGUAGGCAGCUUGCUGGGCUUGAAUUGACGCUGAGGCACGAAAGCGUGGGGAUCAAACAGGAUUAGAUACCCUGGUAGUCCACGCCCUAAACGAUGUUAACUCGAUAUUUAUUCUUCGGAGUGAGUGUCCAAGCGAAAGCGUUAAGUUAANCACCUGGGGGAGUACGUUCGCAAGAAUGAAACUCAAAUGAAUUGACGG
rnacentral:rRNA from 1 species